AUUACACAACAAGCAACAUAUAAGCAGUCAUCUCAUGAUGUUAAAAAGUCGGGUCCUGCUCCGCUGCCAUCAGGAAUCCCUGUACAGACACGAGCAAAUAUUGUUAUUGAGUCUAAUACUGCUCCACAGGCAUGUCGGGUUGAUGGUGUUGGUCAAGUGGAUGUUGGUGGAAGUAAUGUGAAUUUGCCUUCUGGUAAUGUCUUCUAUAUAUAACUUUUCAUUCUUUUUUUCUAAAUUUCUUAACUUUGUAUAUUUAUUUAUUCACUAGCAUUUUCUAAUUUAAGCUCCAUGUCGACACGGGGGUGAUCUUCACUUGGAUUCUGAUUUUGAAUAUACUGAUUCUCAACUUGAUCUAAUUGCUGCCAUUACACAAGGAGGGAGACGUAAUGUAAAUCAAUCUGGAAAUGAUCUGACAACUCGUGCUGUAAAUAAGUCUAAACCUGAUCAGUCGGUAUCAAGAAAUAUUGUUCAGAUACAAACAGAUGUUGAAACUACUCCUGCAGUUUUAACACGGAAAAGGCGCCCCGCAGCUGUAAAACAGUCACCGUAUAGGAAUGACUGGCAAUCUGGUGUUAGUGCAGUUGGGGGAUCCUCGAAGGUUAUCAAAGGAAGAUUUCCAUUUGUAAAUGACAUUUCAGAGACGGUUGAUUUUAAGCUUACGACUGCAUUCUCAAACUUUGUUGAAGCAAAUAUGCAAUUGGGAGAGGAAGUGUAUUUACCUGGUGAUCAAAAGCUAGAGCCUUGUUUUGACUUUGAAGUUGAACAGAUUGAUGAUAAGACGUUUUUCCAUACCUUAAACUAUUCUGGCAGGCCGCUCUCUAGUUCGCACUUGAAUAUUAUAUUCUACUAUCUUAGGAAGAAGGCGAAAUAUGGAAUUAAUAUGCCAAUCAAAGUCACA